CCCUUAGAUGUUCUGGGCUGCACGCGUGCUACACUGAUAUUGCCAAUAUGUCAUUCUUAUCCGAAAUGGAUUGGGUAAUCAAGUAAUGAAAUUUCAUGCGUGGAAUCGGUAAUUGCAAUUUUAUCGUGAACGAGGAAUUCCUAGUAAGCACUAGUCAUCAGCUAAUGUUGAUUAUGUCCCUGCCCUUUGUACACACCGCCCGUCGCUACUACUGAUUGGGUGUUCAAGUGAGAUGCUUAGACCCUUGUUGCAUGGUUCAUUAUUGUGCUCCGAAAGGAAAAAGUUUCAAGCUUGAGUGUCUAGAGGAAGUAAAAGUCGUAACA
rnacentral:rRNA from 1 species